rnacentral:tRNA from 1 species
UCGCCCCGUGGAACGGCUCUCUGGUGGUCGCCGCAUCGUGUGUGGCACCGGCGCUGGCCGCUGGGAAUGCGGUGGUGUUCAAGCCAUCUGAGGUGGC